GUCCAGUAAGUGUUUUGGGGGAGUCAAGAGCUCCAUUAAAACAGCGCUCACUGAUCCGAAGACACCAUGAGCCAGAACAAUGUUAAGAGGUCAGGCGUGGCCUGCAAUCCCAGGACUCAGGAGGCUGAGGCAGGCGGAUCACCGUGAGACUAAGGCCCAUCUGGGCUACAUAGUUUGAGGCCAACCUGAACUGCAUGGCGAGACUGUCUCAAAAAAACAAACAAACAUUUUAAAGGAAAACGUUGAAACAAAAAUAAAAAGGAGUUUCGAAGACUCAUGAAGCAACACUUCCUGAAACUGAAACUUCUUCACCAGAGGCCGGUGGCCAGUUUCCCUGGGCGUGCGAGGGUCACCGCGCAUUGGGCCCCGGGGACGGCACCCUUGAUCCAUCUGCCUGGCACCGGGUCGGUGAAUGCCUUCGGGAAAGCAGAGCCAUCGCUAUGAGGACAUGGAGAGAAGAGCUCCAUGCUGCUGCAAUGCAGCCCUGACAACGGACGGCAGAGCGGCCGGCAGCCCCACCUCGCCCGUCCCGGGCCGUGGUCCGGGUGAGGACCAGUUUCUGAAUCCGCCUCGGACCGCCACCGAUCUAUGCCACUCCCUCUUUUAUGUACUUUCAGCCGUAACUUCCUUGAUACCGUUAGCAGCAGGGAAAAGAAAGCCUCAGUUUUUACACGUCAAAGCAUGAUAUUCUGUUAUAAAAUAAUUUUGCAGGUAACUUUUCCAACUGAAACGUUGCUUCUUAAUAAAUCAGUAAAUAAUGCAAUAUGUAUAUACACAAAUAAAAAAUCUCAUGAAUUAAAGAGCUCUGUUUUCUAUACACUCUAAAGAAGAAUUAUGCUUUCUUUUACAAAGAGU
rnacentral:lncRNA from 1 species